AUAGAACAUGCACCUGCAGUCUCAUUGCUCCAUUCUCAGCCAUUUAGAAUUUAUAUCACUUUGUUUGUGCAGCCCAAGACCCAGCUCUACUGCCUGUGACAUACACAGCCUUCCUAAACACUUCCUGUAAAGUGAAGUCUUCUGCAAUGUUAAUAGCCUACUGGAGCCUGCAGGAGCCUCCUGUGUGUGAUUAAAGUUAAAUUAACAGAGCAGUAUUACUUCUAAAGUAAACACAUUGUGCUGUUACAUCAAGUACAACAUCACAGCCAGGUAAGGUGUGGCUAUGACUCUAUACACAGAACCAAAAGAGUUUUACAAUGAAACUGUAGG